GAUCUCCUAGCUCAGCGGUAGAGCGUCGGAUUCCAGUUCGCGUAUCGACAUUGCAUCCCGAAGGUCAUCCGUUCAAUCCGGGUGGAGAUCA